UACGUAGGGUGCAAGCGUUGUCCGGAAUUAUUGGGCGUAAAGAGCUCGUAGGCGGUUUGUCGCGUCGGCUGUGAAAAUCCGAGGCUCAACCUCGGACUUGCAGUGGGUACGGGCAGACUAGAGUGUGGUAGGGGAGACUGGAAUUCCUGGUGUAGCGGUGGAAUGCGCAGAUAUCAGGAGGAACACCGAUGGCGAAGGCAGGUCUCUGGGCCAUUACUGACACUGAGAAGCGAAAGCAUGGGGAGCGAACAGG
rnacentral:rRNA from 1 species